rnacentral:rRNA from 1 species
GACAUGAAGUUAGGUCAGCAAACCCGCUGAAUUUAAGCAUAUAAGUAAGCGGAGGAAAAGAAACUAAAUAGGAUUCCCUCAGUAAUGGCGAAUGAACAGGGAUAAGCUCAGCAUGGAAAUCGGGSCCCCUGGCCUUGAAUUGUAGUCUCGAGAUGUACUGCCAACGGAGGCACAGAUGUAAGCCUCUUGGAAAAGAGCACCAAUGAGGGUGAGAGUCCCGCUUGCCAUCUGUAGUCCCCCGUGUACGGUGUGCAUUCUAAGAGUCACGUUCCUCAGGAUUGGAGCGCAAAGCGGGUGGUAAAUUUCAUCUAAAGCUGAAUAUCGGUUCGAGAACGAUAGCAAACAAGUACCAUGAGGGAAAGGUGAAAAGGACUUUGAAAAGAGAGUUAAAAGUGCCUGAAAUUGCUGAAAGGGAAGCGAAUGGAACCAGCGCGUCUUGGCGAGAUUGUUGCGUGCUAAUGCGAUUGCCUGCUGCUUCAGCGCAAGCGGGGCAGUAGGUCUUGAGCAGGACGUGCGUGGUGCUUCUUGCCUUGCGUGUCAACUUCAGUUCACACUUGAGGAAAACCUCAGGGACAUGGUAGCUAGCCUCCGGGCGAAUGAAUGUGCCUGGGUGUACUCGAGGGUGUACUGCUUGGKGACGAAAUGKUYYUYUYYRMYYYG